AUUGAACGCUGGCGGCAGGCCUAACACAUGCAAGUCGAACGAGUGGCGGACGGGUGUGUAAUGUCUGGGAAACUGCCCGAUGGAGGGGGAUAACUACUGGAAACGGUAGCUAAUACCGCAUACCAUCGGAUGUGCCCAGAUGGGAUGAGCUAGUAGGUGGGGUAACGGCUCACCUAGGCGACGAUCCCUAGCUGGUCUGAGAGGAUGACCAGCCACACUGGAACGGAGACACGGGCGAGACUCCUACGGGGGGCAGUGGUGGGGAAUAUUGCACAAUGGGCGCAAGCCUGAUGCAGCCAUGCCGCGUGUAUGAAGAAGGCCUGCGGGUUGUAAAGGACUUUCAGCGAGGAGGCGUUACGCGCAGAAGAAGCACCGGCUAACUCCGUGCCAGCAGCCGCGGUAAUAC
rnacentral:rRNA from 1 species